ACCUUUGACAAAAGAACCAAGACAAAUGU
rnacentral:piRNA from 1 species